rnacentral:misc_RNA from 1 species
AAAGCAAAGUUGUGAAGAAUGGGAUUUAGGUGGUGGCUCUUUCUCUACAUUGAUGGCCAGGAAUCAGGACGUAAGCUUUGGCACUGGAUCACCUAUUACUUGUGAUACUGAAUCACCUACUCUCGGAUGCAGAUCAUCAUUUUCUUCUUUCCUUGUGGAACCUUCAACACCUUCCUCUGUAUCUGGUCUGUUCUCUUUCUGUAGCCGUGGCGAUUCUGAUGCCUUGGAAUUUUCUUCCCCUGUAUUAUCAAUGCCAAGCUUUGCUAUCUUCAGCCAUGGUCCUUUGAUGGAGCAAGGGAGUUGUGCAUUGGAUCUCUCAAACAAUAUUUCCAAUUUUAGUGAAAGUUAUGGAGAGGUCAGCUUGGAGAAUAUGCUCAUGUUCCCUCAAUCUCCUCUAUUCUGUGGACAUGAAUCUAGGGAAAUGGAACACAAGUCAGCUGAUGUUAAGAGGUCAGGAGGAGCCAUCGGGUCUAGGAUGGGCAUGAACAGUAAGAGGAACCAUACAAUUGGUCUCGGUGAGUGUGAGCAACUCAAUCUCAUGGUGACCGAGUCAGUUAUCCGAUGGGCAUCAUGCACGCAUCUUCCAACUGCUCCAUCUCUUAGUCUUCUGUUGUCUGUUGAAACUUGAAGGAGAGGGCCAGUUGGCAGCCUGAAGCUACAGAAUGAAACUGGAGGCUGUGAUGGAUGAUUGAGAUGGAGAAAGUAGCAUGCCCACGCCAGUUUCUGCUAGCCAAUGUAUUUGUAAAUAUGUUUGUUUUCCUGUUUUGCUGAAUCAUGGUGAGAAAGUCCUAGGCAAGCUUCAAAGGGUGGUGUGAUUUGAGUGACGUCUUUUUGUUAUCUUCAAUUUGUGCACUACUAGGUAGCCAAAAUAACAAGCUGCGAGUAAUAGUCUUCUGCCUUGUGUAUAAAACUAAAUUUU